GGACGCUUUUGGGGCUUCGGCCUCAAGGGAGUGGCGGACGGGUGAGUAGCGCGUGGGAACCUGCCUUGAGAGUGGGGGAUAACCGAGGGAAACUUCGGCUAAUACCGCAUGCGCCCCGGCGCGAGCCGGGGGAAAGAUUGAUCGCUCUAAGAGGGGCCCGCGUCGGAUUAGGUAGUUGGUGGGGUAACGGCCUACCAAGCCUGUGAUCCGUACCUGGUCUGAGAGGAUGAUCAGCCACACUGGGACUGAGACACGGCCCAGACUCCUACGGGAGGCAGCAGUGGGGAAUAUUGGACAAUGGGCGCAAGCCUGAUCCAGCAAUGCCGCGUGAGUGAUGAACGCCUUAGGGUUGUAAAGCUCUUUCGGCGGGGACGAUGAUGACGGUACCCGCAGAAGAAGCCCCGGCUAACUUCGUG
rnacentral:rRNA from 1 species